rnacentral:lncRNA from 1 species
AUCAACUGUGGUCUUGUCUGUGGGGGCCUGGUCUUUGGAGUCCUCAUUAGUGGGGCCUGGUCAGUAAAGGUCUGUUCAGUAAGGACCUGGUCAGUCAGAACCUCGUCAUUUAAGGCCCAGUCAGUGGAGACGUUGACAGAGGGGGCCUUGUCAGUUGGGCCCAGUCAGUGGAGGCCUGGCAGUGGAAGCCUCAUCCGUGGGUCCUGGACAGUGAGGACUGGUCACUGGAGGUCUGAUUGGGGGUUUUGUGAGUAUAGCCCAGUCAGUGGCGGCCUAGAAGUGGAGGCCUCAUCAGGGGGUCCUGGCUAGUGGGGUCUAGUCAGUGGUGGUCUGGGGUCCUGGUAAGUUGAGGCCUCAUCAAUUGAGGCCUGGUCAGUGGGGCCUGAUCAUUGGGGUCCUGGCUAGUGGGGCCUGGUCAGUAAAGUUCUGGGUCAUUGGGGUCCCGGUUAAUGGGUCAGUAAAGGUCUGGUUAUUAAAGACCUGGCCAGUCAGAACUUCAUCAGUUAAGGACCUGGUCAGUUGGGACCUGGGCAGGUGGAACCUUGUCAGUUAAGGACAUGGUCAGUUGGGACCUCAUCAGUGAAGGAAGUGGUCAGUUGGAAUCUUGUCAGUUGGGCGCAGUCAGCCUGGCAGCAAAAGCCUCAUCCGUGGGUUCUGGAUAGUGAGGCCUGGUCACUGGAGGCCUGGCCGUGGAACCUGGCCCAGGACAUGGAGAUGCCCGAUGCUGGGAGGAGGCACAGACAGCAGGAAGGAGAGAAGGAAGGAACUUCCAUAGUAUGGAUGCCUACGAAGUUACAACACGUGGUUCCAUCGCCAUGUUCUCUGUUUAUUUCCCACAUAAUUCUCUAUUCUAAACUGGCCUCAGUUGAGCACAAAACCAUCCUUGUACUACCACAAAUAGUUGGCCAUGGCUCUUUGAUAGCAGUUUUUAUUCUGCUGUGGAAAUUAUCCUUGAACUGGAAAAAGUCCCCAAUCCAACAUCCAGUCA